rnacentral:rRNA from 1 species
UACGAGGGGGGCGAGCGUUGUUCGGAAUUAUUGGGCGUAAAGGGUGCGUAGGCGGUUUGGUAAGUCCGUUGUGAAAACUCGAGGCUCAACCUCGAGACGCCGAUGGAAACCAUUUGGCUAGAGUCCGGAAGAGGAGAGUGGAAUUCCUGGUGUAGCGGUGAAAUGCGCAGAUAUCAGGAAGAACACCCGUGGCUAAGGCGGCUCUCUAGUACGGUACUGACGCUGAGACGCGAAAGCGUGGGGAGCGAACAGG